AGUAGUAGCUUUCAGUCUCUGCCAACCUGGUUUGGAGCAGUUUCCCUGUGUGUGAUUUGGCGUGCUUGUCAGCCAAAUCAGAAAGCCAGUCCAAAAAUCCAGUACUUAGAGGGUGUUUGAUACCCGCGGGAGCUGUCUAGUGCCCACAAUGCGCAGCCUAGGUGGAAGUCACAGCUGGAGAAGCUGCCACUGAGAGGUCCUUCACUCCCUUGAUCACAAUAGAGAGAGAUUUGUGCUCAUCUAUUGCUUUAUAGAUGUUGCAAGAAGAUGAGCAGGUAGCCCAUCCUGCACCAGACAGCUAGAAUGCUCUGAACGACAUUUUCAGAAGACAAGUUACAGUGCUAAUGAGCCUGUCUUGUGUCCUCUGAACAAUCUGUGCUGGAGUUGGAAUAUAUUUCCUGUCGUUCAUCAGAAGAACUGGCAAGCAAGCAAAGCUGACAGAUGUAGUUCAGACUUGUGGGGAUUUCCUGUUGCAAAAGUUUGGCAUUCACUGACAUUUCCUGGUAGUGUAGAAAAGCCAGAAGAGUAAUAGAUUGUUGUAAUGGUUUGGCCUGAAGAUUCUUCCUGUGGACCUAAGUGGAUGAUGAUUUGAACUAUAUGUCCUGCAAGAAAUUCCCAGGAGGUGUUGAUGAGUGCACGUCUUCUUCCAAGACUGCUAAUGAAAAGCCACAGUGUUCUGGAGGAGGUACAGAUGGCUUCUGAAGGAUGGUUGUAUGAUGCUUCAUUCAGUGGGAUUCCGACUCAUCAUACCCAGCCUGCUACCUCAGAGACAGAAGCUGAUGUUUCAAAUAUGAUCACGGAGCUGAGUACCUUCUGGAGCAGUCACGCUGCAUCUUGGAUGAAUACCAAAGCUGCUGAGCCUUCAGCACUGCGACAGUCUCCAAGGGAGCUGGAAAUGUAUGACCCAAGAAGACCCACAGCUCCAGAAUUCACCAGGAAGCAUAGCAUCUCUUUCAUCCCAAGCUAGCUAAAACCUUUCUGUUAGAGCAGGUUUUUCCUAAUCAAAUACCUCUGUGUCAAAAGAUUGUUUGAGAAUUUGUGAUUUAUGUGUUUAAAGAGACAGAGGAAAGGGGCC